GAAGAAUUUGUGUCUGCUAAUAUCCCUCCUGAAAAGGUCAUUAUAGCUGCAUCUUUUUGCUCCUUACACUAACUGAUUGGCCCACUUCUAUGUAACUUUUAUGAGAAGGGGCUGGUGUUUCCCAGAGUCUUGUUCUGGCUUACAUUUGAAGGAAUGUGUGGAAUCUGUUUAACUAGACCCCGUUGUGCAAGCCAGUUAGGUGACUGCCUUACACCCUGGUCACAGAGGUGACUGUUAAAUGCUGGAAAGAUUUCAGAAUAUUUUUUUCUACACAUAUACUUUACCAUAAUUCAAAGGAGCUUCCUAAAAAAAAAUCAUUUUCCUCUAACAUUUUUCAUUGUGUCUGUCACUUGCAGGUGGCAAUGAGCUAGCACCUUUUCAUGUUGAGAUUCUCAGUCUCGAGCCAUUUAAUUAGGAUAGUGAUGUUGUGUGGAGAAUAAGAAUUGGAAUUAAUUUUUAAUACUUUUGCAUCCAGGAACUCCUGAAUGUUUUGGAAAAAAAAUCUAUAAAAAUGCAAGGAGAUCUGCCAAAUGUCAGCUUGUACUUAAUAUCCUGCUAUUGUUAUUGCAACACUUAUUUCUACAUCAGCAUUCAACUAUUUACAGACAUUCACUGUUCUUUCAUUACGUGUAACAUUAAGUGGCUCUCCACAACCAAUGUCAGGUGUGUGCUGGUUUCAAUACCAGAAAGGUAUUGAAACAAUAUAAAGGAGUGUAAUAGAGGCUAAUGACCUUUUCAAGUUUUGUUUUGUUUUGUUUUUUAACACGAAGGGGAACCACAAAUGUAUUUUGGAUUUGUUUCCUAAAGACGUCACACUCAGUCCAAGUGAUGAGAAUUGUAGGAACAAAGAGAGACUGAAGAGAGAAAUUGGAGUCAAGGAGCUUCGUAUGAGAGCAGAAAGUACUAAUGAUUCCUUGGAUGUCAAUGAGAAGGAAAGAUGUCAAAAGAGAAAAAGAAUUAAUUUAACAAGCAAAGUCAAGCAAGAGAAGGUCAUGGAGAAGAAAAGAGGCCGUGGCUGUGGCAGGACAAAGAUAGCUGAAUGCACAGGAAUAUGAGGAGCUUCAUGAUUGAGACUCAGAAGCAUUCAGCUGAGUUACAAACAACAGCUAUGUAUGAAUGGAAGUCAAGGAUCUAUUCUGUCUACUAUAUCCAUAAUAGUAUUGCCUAGAGGCAUUCUGCCUGCAGAGACUCGGGAGGUAGCAGCUACCUUCCCACAGUGUAAAAACUGCAGGGAGGUCAUGUCCUGAUCCCACAACUACUUCCCAUCUGGUAACGUUGAAAUGAUUUUCCUUUCCCUGCUUAACAGCCUUGCAGUAAAAGGUGGCUGCUGUCAGAUACCGGAGCGGUGCCUAACGGAAGGCCCCCGAGGGACUUUACAAGGAGAUGUGAGGGAGGAGCCGGGCUCCUGCAAAAAAGCAGCUUGAGUGUGAAGGAGGCACCAGAGACAAAGGCUCAAUCUGAGGCCAUCCAGGUAUUAAAGAGGAAGGGGGCACACCUAGCCCUAACGGAGGGUGAGCUGGAGACUGGUUGCUUUUGGUUGUCUGAAGCAAAACUCAUGUGUCUCCUGCGGUUUUUAGAGGAAGACGCAUAGAAUUAUUUCUUUUGAGCAACAGUUUUUAUUCAGAGAUUUUGUAUAUUUAAGCCCUUGACAGUAGUUCUAAUGUUCUUGCUAAUAGAGCUAAAUUACAGAAUAGAGGUUUCAUUUUUAUUAUAUAACGUAUUGUAAAUCUGCAGCAGUUCUGAGUGAGACUGGGGGAAAAAAACAAUGUUUUGUUAAGUGUGUGACCUGUUUUGAUUGCUACAUCUGUCACGUUUCUCUUCCAAUCCUGAUUUUUCUUUCCACUAUCUUAAUAUCUUUGAGUUUGAUAAAUUAUUUCUAAACACAGGAAUGAUGAAAACUACAAGAAUUGUCUCUAAGACUGCUUAGUUAUUGCACUGUGUGAGGAUAGUUUUCAUUAAUACACCAUCUAUUUACAAAAUACUCAGAAGCUGAUUUAUUACACCUCAUGAGCACUCUGCAUUUCUCCAUGGAUAUUUUCCUUAGCUCCUGUGACUUCUGGAUGUCUGCUGUCAUUUUGGACUGUGAGAAUCUGAUGUACCAACCAGCUUGCUUCAGCUGAUGAAAAAGUCUGUGUUAGAGGUAGGUACUACCACAUCUCAACUCCCAGACUAAUCUUUUAAAUCUGCAUUAAGAACUGGACUUGAGCCAUUAUAGUUUUGAAUUUUUCCAUCCAAUUUCUUAAAAACAUUUAUGUAUUUUCAGAAUUAAAUAUGCUUGUUAUACUUUGGAGCUAUUAUGUGAAACCAAAACUCUUGCCAAAUUUGUGGUGGCCAAUAAAAAGAAUGCUGAAUUCAAUGAGCUACUGUCUAAAAUCCCAGGGUUUGUGUUUUUGGCUAGAGGUAGGGAUUUGAGAUUCCAGAGCUAGAGUCCUGGGCUUAUUCAUGCAAAGAUCCACCCUGAAGGUGUGGACAGCACAAAAAAAGAAAAAGAAAAAGAAAAAAAAAAAAAAAAAAGCUCCUGACUUGGGGAAUGUCCCGGGGAUAGGAACAUCUGGGCCAUCAAGGACUCUUCUCUUGGUUCCACUGGGUUUCAUGUCUUAGAGCACUUGUUCAGCGUUUGGCAAAAACUCAUCAAUCCAUAGGUAUUUUUGCUAAAACAGUUUGUGUUCCACAUUUUCUGACAAGUUUUCAUCUGAAUGUAUCCAGCAAGUUUAAUUGCUGAGUAACAGUAGCCAUAAUAUUUCACCAAGCAUUUGUACAACAAUAGGUAGAUUUGGGUCAAACUACAGCAUGCAUCUUCAGUGCUAAAUUAAUAUCCUCUCUGCUAUUGUUAGUUCAGGAAGCUUAUAGCUAGCUGAAGUACAAGAGAAGCUAAUAUUAAAAAUUACUGAGCAGUGGCUAAAAUGGCCAGUGAAUUGGUAAUAUGUCAUGUAAUUAUCCCGAAUAUAGAUAUAUAUUUUUUGUGGAGGCACUUUUACUAUCUAUUCAAGUUACAUAUUUUACAUAUAUAUAGAAAACCACUGCACUAUGACUUUGGACUGAUUUACAUGGCUUUGUCUUGUUGGAAUUGAAUGCAAGUUUUAUGAGAAAAGUGACCUUGAAAUGUUCAAUAAAAAUUAUUCAGAAUGUUCCAGUAUUCAGAACACAGCUUAUGAACAAGGAUAAUUCUUUGUUGAAUUAAUUAUAAAUGAUGUAGACAGUAAUUCAAAUAUAUAUUUCCUUGAGGCACCUAAAAUCAGAUUUUUUAAUACUUUUAUAGUAGAUAGCUGUAGGUUUUCUAGGGAAUUAAGCUUAAGUUCCAUAUUGUGUUAUCACUGCCAUAUGGAUUAUCUUUGCUUCACCCACCUAGACACCACAAAUUGUUGGUGACAACAUCCCUAGCUCCCGCUCUGAUUCCAUGCUAGAUUAUUUUAAAAUAGAGAUAGCGAUGUUUCAGAAUUGCCUCUUGUAGAUGUGAUUCUGCUGUGGGAGCACAGCCUGACAUAAUAGCAUAGCUACUUUACUAUAUUGCUCGGAGGAUAAGAUUUUAAACACCUGUUCAGAUAUGAAUGAUACAUUUACUUCUCAUAUCUCUACACUGAAAACUCAUUUUGCUCUGAAGAUAGAAGUAGUUCCUCCUGCCAAAUCCCUGAACACCCUCAUUUCCAUCCAGGAACCUGUUGACCUCUCACAAGCAAUCUGUUCCUCCCAAACUCAAAUCAGCUGGUUCCAGAUGGAAUGGGUCCAUGCGUUGGAGCAAGUUUUUGAAGAAGGUGAUUGAACUAAAACUACGUGCAUGCCCUCGUUGUUACUCUUUAAAAUUGCCCCUAAUAUAUCAAUCUGUUUAGAACAGAUAGCUACUGAGUAGUUACAGCCUGCCUGUGUGGCAAAAAAUUACUUAGACCUUUAACGGGAAGUAUGUUAGCCUUGUCAAGAAGUUAUGAAACAGAAUGGAAAAGAUUUAUUACGUACCUGGAAGGCAAGUCACAGAUAUGCUGGAGGCCAAAUGCUGGAUGAAGAACAAGCUGCUUUGAUCUCAACAAAGUUUUCAUACUACAUCAUAUUUUUCACUGUGUGCUCUGGUGACCCCAAGUCCAGUGUGUGAUAGCACCAUUAACUCUGGUAAGUACAUAUGAUUUUGGAGUUGUGAUAUAAUUAAUGGCGCGAGGCCAGUUGUGAGGAAGAACAUACAAGUGAAAGUGUGUUUCAUGAACUUGCGUUGGAGUAAGCUCUGCAUGUACUAGGCCAGACCUAUACAUACAGGUAUAAAUCUAGAAAUAAUAUGAAAAUGCCAUCUAAGGGGUAUGCUCUAUAUAGUUUAUGUCUGUGGAAGUAAUUCACACUCUAUUACAGAAAACAGAAUUUAAGAAGCUACAAGAAUGUUUCAAUCUCCUAGGAAUAUCUUUGCUGUUACGAAACCAGUCUCCAUGUUGACACUCAAGUUUCUUUUCUGUACAUGAAAUGUAAUUUUGAGUGCAAACUUUCUUUAGAAGUCAGAAAGCUCUUCAGAAGAAAAAAAUGUUGUUGAGUUGGAUAUUGUUAAGCUAAAUCAUACUGCGCAGACCUUCUGUGAAAAAUUAGCUCCAGAACUUACUGUACUGCUUAAAUGAGGUCUGUAGUUAAAAGCAAAAAUAUUUGCACUAUGAGCAGAUUAAUCCUAUUCUGCAGGACAUGCCUAUAGUGGGAAUAAUUCUUCAAUGUCAGUUUAGCAACAAUUUUUUUGUAUCUGUCUGUACACCUCUUCUGAGAUAGAGCUGGUAAUCCAUCCCAUUAAAGACUUAAAUACUUCUUUUAUACUAAAACAUUUUUCUUUAUUCCAUAAAUAUCUGGUGGUGCUUAUUCUGAACUGAAGGGGGAUAUACUGCUUAAUGUGACAUUGUGAGCUCUGAACUUAGAGCCGAUGAGUGACGUCAAAGUGUGCCUUUUCCAAAGCAAUUAUUUUGAUAAAAUUUUCUUUAAUACAUUGUGUAGGCCUAUUAAAAGACCUGUCAACACUGCAGAGGCCCAGCAUAAAUUUUUCAUUUCCACAGAUGGAUUUAUCAGAGAUAAUGGAUAAUUUUUUAAAUUUUGUUUCAGAGACUUCUAGCGGCGCUAAUCCCAGUAGAACAGUGAGCAUAGUGCUGUGUAGUUCUAGCACUUACCUGAGCAUUUAGCCACCAUUUCUGUCUCGACUCAAAUCCCCAACUGCACUGACCUCUGCAAGGGCUGGGCCUUUAGGAUUAACUGAAAGGGCAUUGUAGAUAAAGCAGGAACUGAGUUUCCACUUUAGCCAACAUGUAGGACUCAGCUGACAUUCUUUUGAGAGGUUCUCAUUAAUUUCAGUGGAUGUUGAAGUACAGCAUUUCUUUCUCCUCCCCAAACUAGACUAAACCUUCUUCCCCGCCCUGUUCCAGUAUCCCAAAAUCAGGGGAAGAAGUGCACAUGGGGAAUCUGUCCUACUUCAGGUUUCUUGGAAUGGGAUUUGUCCAGUCACCAGGCACAACUUACGUCUCAGGCUUCUUAAGAUAAAAUACAAUGUCAGCAGAAGCAGUAUCAUUGUGGUAAUUGUAUUUAUAUGCUAAUAAAUGCAUAGUGCUCUUGCUUUACAAUAAAAUAGAAGCUGCAUUUUAAUUUGAUCUUCGUGUUGGUCAGAUGAAUAAAUGUAUCAGUUCUACAUCAAGCAGAAAUAUUACAGAAAUGAAGUUAAAUCGCAUCUGGAUGCACUGACUUCAUAUUUAUAUGAAUUUACCUGAAGAAAAGGUACAUGGAUUAUGUUGCUGUCAGAUUGCUGUCCAUGGUAAGGUGUGAAGACAAACUGGAUUAAGAACACAAGACAUCACCACAACAAGUGCUACCAUUUGACAGUACUAGAUAUGCUUCAGGAUGGAAAUUCGUGAAGCUCAUAUCUUUUGGGAAUUCUGUAAUCUUGACUUUCAUUGGAAUUUCUAGAUAAUGUUAGAUAAUUUUUAAUAACAAUUAAACCUACAGUGGUAUGAUACAAAGGAUUUGUUACUGAAUGCAUACUUUCAGAUGAAUAAAUGCCAAUUCAAUACAUGCAGUGUGUCAUUUUCCAAUAAAUGACAUAAACCAAUUUUUGUGCUAUUUAAUUCACCAAGAGGUGGCAGCCUUCACUUGAUUCCCUCUGCACUUGUCCUCUGAUUUAGGUUGACCAGAUGUGUGUCAUUGACACACACUGAGGCAUUGAUAUGCUUGUACAAUGGUUGGUGGAUGUCUAGAGAUGUAUUUUCAGGCUGUGCCAAUACCUUUGGUAUUCUGUAUUAUUGAUUUGAUAAUAAAAUAGCUGGAAGAAGACAAAAUGUAUAAGAAAUUAAGUUGUGAGCUUUGUUAUGAAUUGAAAUAAUCACCCAAAGGAGGCCUUGUUUUGAAAAUCGAGCCCUACUUCACUUCAAGCCCUUUGCUACCAGUCCCAGUCCCUGCUGAAAUCUGGAUCAGAAGAUUUGUUCUGUUCUCCCUGAGGAGAAUGGGAAUGUUCCUCCUCUGCCUCUGGCUUGAAGUUCUGGACAAUGGUAGGUACUGGAUGCAUUCAUAAGAACACAUAUACAAAACAUUAAAAACUGAUUUACUUGUUCGUUUGUUGUUAAAUAUUCAUUAUUUUUAAUUGCAAUUAAAGCUAU